GACGAACCGUGCGAACGUUGUUCGGAAUCACUGGGCUUAAAGGGCGCGUAGGCGGACCCCCAAGUCCGGGGUGAAAUCCUCCGGCUUAACCGGAGAAUUGCCUGGGAUACUGGGGGUCUUGAGGGAGGUAGGGGCACGCGGAACUUCCGGUGGAGCGGUGAAAUGCGUUGAUAUCGGAAGGAACGCCCGUGGCGAAAGCGAGGCCCUGGACGUCUGCUGACGCUGAGACGCGAAAGCCAGGGGAGCGAACGGG
rnacentral:rRNA from 1 species